UACGAAGGGGGCUAGCGUUGCUCGGAAUUACUGGGCGUAAAGGGCGCGUAGGCGACAGUUUAGUCAGAGGUGAAAGCCCAGGGCUCAACCUUGGAAUUGCCUUUGAUACUGGCUGUCUUGAGUUCGGGAGAGGUGAGUGGAAUGCCGAGUGUAGAGGUGAAAUUCGUAGAUAUUCGGCGGAACACCAGUGGCGAAGGCGACUCACUGGCCCGAUACUGACGCUGAGGCGCGAAAGCGUGGGGAGCAAACAGGAUUAGAAACCCCGGUGAGUCCAGAACCGUAC
rnacentral:rRNA from 1 species